rnacentral:rRNA from 1 species
GAUGAACGCUGGCGGCGUGCCUAAUACAUGCAAGUCGAGCGAACAGACGAGGAGCUUGCUCCUCUGACGUUAGCGGCGGACGGGUGAGUAACACGUGGAUAACCUACCUAUAAGACUGGGAUAACUUCGGGAAACCGGAGCUAAUACCGGAUAAUAUAUUGAACCGCAUGGUUCAAUAGUGAAAGACGGUUUUGCUGUCACUUAUAGAUGGAUCCGCGCCGCAUUGGCUAGUUGGUAAGGUAACGGCUUACCAAGGCAACGAUGCGUAGCCGACCUGAGAGGGUGAUCGGCCACCCUGGAACUGAGACACGGUCCAGACUCCUACGGGAGGCAGCAGUAGGGAAUCUUCCGCAAUGGGCGAAAGCCUGACGGAGCAACGCCGCGUGAGUGAUGAAGGUCUUCGGAUCGUAAAACUCUGUUAUUAGGGAAGAACAAAUGUGUAAGUAACUAUGCACGUCUUGACGGUACCUAAUCAGAAAGCCACGGCUAACUACGUG